UCGUUAACGAACGAGACCUUAACCUGCUAAAUAGUCACGCAAAUUCACUUGUUGAUUUGCGGCCGACUUCUUAGAGGGACUUUCGGUGACUAACCGAAGGAAGUUUGAGGCAAUAACAGGUCUGUGAUGCCCUUAGAUGUUCUGGGCCGCACGCGCGCUACACUGACAGAGGCAGCGAGUUUUUUUUAUCCUGGUCCGGAAGGAUCGGGUAAUCUUGUGAAUCUUUGUCGUGAUGGGGAUAGAUCUUUGUAAUUAUCGAUCUUCAACGAGGAAUUUCUAGUAAGCGCGGUUCAUCAGAUCGCGCUGAUUACGUCCCUGCCCUUUGUACACACCGCCCGUCGCUAAUACCGAUUGAAUGGAUA
rnacentral:rRNA from 1 species